rnacentral:rRNA from 1 species
AACGAACGCUGGCGGCAUGCCUAACACAUGCAAGUCGAACGAGACCUUCGGGUCUAGUGGCGCACGGGUGCGUAACGCGUGGGAACCUGCCCUUAGGUUCGGAAUAACUCCCCGAAAGGGGUGCUAAUACCGGAUAAUGUCUUCGGACCAAAGAUUUAUCGCCUUUGGAUGGGCCCGCGUUGGAUUAGCUAGUUGGUAGGGUAAAAGCCUACCAAGGCGACGAUCCAUAGCUGGUCUGAGAGGAUGAUCAGCCACACUGGGACUGAGACACGGCCCAGACUCAGGGGGGAGGAGGAAGGGGGAAAUAUGGAAGAGGGGGGGAAGGAGUAAUAAAACAAGGCGGGGGGAUGAAUAAAGUCGUAGGGGUUAAAAAGCUUUGUUCCCGGGGAAGAUAAGAACGGUCCGGGGAAAAAAAGCCCCGAAAACCUCGGUG